GACGUAGGGCGCGAGCGUUGUCCGGAUUUAUUGGGCGUAAAGAGCUCGUAGGCGGCUUGUCGCGUCGUCCGUGAAAACUUGGGGCUCAACCCCAAGCUUGCGGUCGAUACGGGCAGGCUCGAGUUCGGUAGGGGAGACUGGAAUUCCUGGUGUAGCGGUGAAAUGCGCAGAUAUCAGGAGGAACACCGGUGGCGAAGGCGGGGUCUCUGGGCCGAUACUGACGCUGAGGAGCGAAAGCGUGGGGAGCGAACAGG
rnacentral:rRNA from 1 species